GCUGGCGGCGUGCCUAAUACAUGCAAGUCGAGCGAACAGAUAAGGAGCUUGCUCCUUUGACGUUAGCGGCGGACGGGUGAGUAACACGUGGGUAACCUACCUAUAAGACUGGAAUAACUCCGGGAAACCGGGGCUAAUGCCGGAUAACAUUUAGAACCGCAUGGUUCUAAAGUGAAAGAUGGUUUUGCUAUCACUUAUAGAUGGACCCGCGCCGUAUUAGCUAGUUGGUAAGGUAACGGCUUACCAAGGCAACGAUACGUAGCCGACCUGAGAGGGUGAUCGGCCACACUGGAACUGAGACACGGUCCAGACUCCUACGGGAGGCAGCAGUAGGGAAUCUUCCGCAAUGGGCGAAAGCCUGACGGAGCAACGCCGCGUGAGUGAUGAAGGUCUUCGGAUCGUAAAACUCUGUUAUUAGGGAAGAACAAAUGUGUAAGUAACUGUGCACGUCUGAC
rnacentral:rRNA from 2 species